rnacentral:tRNA from 1 species
UUUACAGAAUUGAGAACUUUGAAUUCUUAAACAGGGAACCCCGCCAAACUAACAUCCCCUGUAAAA